AUACGGAGGAUCCGAGCGUUAUCCGGAUUUAUUGGGUUUAAAGGGAGCGUAGGUGGAUUGUUAAGUCAGUUGUGAAAGUUUGCGGCUCAACCGUAAAAUUGCAGUUGAAACUGGCAGUCUUGAGUACAGUAGAGGUGGGCGGAAUUCGUGGUGUAGCGGUGAAAUGCUUAGAUAUCACGAAGAACUCCGAUUGCGAAGGCAGCUCACUAGACUGUUACUGACACUGAUGCUCGAAAGUGUGGGUAUCAAACAGGAUUAGAUACCCUGGUAGUCCACACAGUAAACGAUGAAUACUCGCUGUUUGCGAUAUACAAUAAGCGGCCAAGCGAAAGCAUUAAGUAUUCCACCUGGGGAGUACGCCGGCAACGGUGAAACUCAAAUGAAUUGACGGGG
rnacentral:rRNA from 1 species